UUAAGGAGGUGGGAAUUGAACCCACAACAAAGAAG
rnacentral:tRNA from 1 species